AUUGAACGCUGGCGGCAGGCCUAACACAUGCAAGUCGAACGCGUGGCGGACGGGUGAGUAAUGUCUGGGAAACUGCCUGAUGGAGGGGGAUAACUACUGGAAACGGUAGCUAAUACCGCAUACCAUCGGAUGUGCCCAGAUGGGAUUAGCUAGUAGGUGGGGUAAAGGCUCACCUAGGCGACGAUCCCUAGCUGGUCUGAGAGGAUGACCAGCCACACUGGAACUGAGACACUGGCCAGACGCCUACGGGAGGCGGCAGUGGGGAAUAUUGCACAAUGGGCGCAAGCCUGAUGCAGCCAUGCCGCGUGUAGGAAGAAGGCAUUCGGGUUGUAAAGUACGUUCAGCGGGGAGGCGUUACCCGCAGAAGAAGGACCGGCUAACUCCGUGCCAGCAGCCGCGGUAAUUC
rnacentral:rRNA from 1 species